CUACGGGGCGCAGCAGUGGGGAAUAUUGGACAAUGGGGGAAACCCUGAUCCAGCAAUGCCGCGUGUGUGAAGAAGGCCUGCGGGUUGUAAAGCACUUUCGGUUGGGAGGACUGCUUCUAGCACUAAUAUUGUUGGAAGUUGACGUUACCUUCAGAAGAAGCACCGGCUAACUCCGUGCCAGCAGCCGCGGUAAUACGGGGGGUGCAAGCGUUAAUCGGAAUUACUGGGCGUAAAGCGCGCGUAGGCGGCUAGAUCAGUCGGGUGUGAAAGCCCCGGGCUUAACCUGGGAACUGCAUCCGAUACUGUCUAGCUUGAGUACAGGGGAGGAGAGUGGAAUUCCACAUGUAGCGGUGAAAUGCGUAGAUAUGUGGGGGAACACCAAUGGCGAAGGCAGCUCUCUGGCCUGAUACUGACGCUGAGGUGCGAAAGCGUGGGGAGCAAACAGGAUUAGAUACCCCAGUAGUC
rnacentral:rRNA from 1 species